GUUCCAGUAGCUGCAGAUGGAUAGUACGUUGGGACUUCUAAUCCAAAGGUCGUGGGUUCUAAUCCUACCUGGGAUG
rnacentral:tRNA from 1 species